UUCUUAUCAAGAGAAGCUGAGGGACUGGCCCUGUGAAGCUUCAGCAACCUCUGACUUUGUCAGGAAGGUGCUAAUUCCAGCGGGAGUAAUUCUUGGGAGAUAAGAG
rnacentral:ncRNA from 2 species